AUGGCCCUCCUCUAUGGCCUUCGCCAGCUUGCCGUGCACAGCUCCAUCAUGGGCGCAACCGACGACGGAUCGCCCAAGGGCGCCAUCAUGUCCUCCAACGUGAGCUUGAUGUGCGGGAACUCAGGCACCGUGAACGUCGCCGGAUUGCCGUCGCCGUCGACGUCGGCGUGCUGCAGCGCCGGGAACGGGUCGUGGCUGAUGCGCACCUCCCGCAGUACCUGUGUGAACGCCGAGAUGCCUAAGAACGACACCUUCGGCUUCGGGACGCCGAGCGUGGCCGCCGACGCGUUCGUCCAGUACAGGAACGCGUCGGCGACGAGGAGGCUGGCCGGAGGCUCCAUGGCGGCGAGCGACGCCUCGAGCUGUGGCUGGAGCAGCGAAGGCGGCUAA
rnacentral:rRNA from 1 species